AAGGAAGGAAGGAAGGAAGGAAGGAAGGAAGGAAGGAAGGAAAGAAGGAAAGAAAGAGGAAGGAAGGAAGGAAAGAGGAAGGAAGGGAGGAAGGAAGGAAGGAAGGAAGGAAGGAAGGAAGGAAGGAAGGAAGGAAGGAAGGAAGGAAGGAAGGAAGGAAGAAAGGAAGGAAAAUGAGGGAAUUGUAGUAGCUAUGGAAAUUUAGUGAAUUAUAGUGAGGGGAAUUUUAGAGAAGUUGCACCAGGAAGUAAGCCAAAGAAAGAGACUGAAUCUUGAGCCCCUCCCCUACACUACUUCCUAUUUCUUUCUUCCCAACUGUCUGGAUAAAGAUCUCACAGAUGGACCUCCCACAGAUGGGCAUCUAGGACUACAAAGUAAUCCUAAUCCAACCUAGUGUUGCUGAUGGAGACCAGCUUGGCAGAGGAGAAGGACUAUGUGUUCCAGAGAAUUGGACAAGUUUGCAUGAAGAAAGAAGUUGAUAGGAACGUGCGCAAAGGAAAAAGUUAAGGAGAGUACCUCCCUCCUUUGUUACUGAAUUAGAACAGGACCCAGAAAGGUAAAGUUUCUCCACUAAAGACAAGAGAGCUCUAGAGUAUCCUCUUUCAGCUCCAGGACAGGCCUCUGAGGCAAAGCUUCACCUAGAAUAUCUGUAAAGAGUUUUACAAAGCUGAGUGCAAUAUAAAUGCUAUUUUAACAGAAGAAACUACUAAGAAACAAGGGGAAUCAAACAUGAAGUCUACACCUACUCCAAGUGUGGUCUGAACCAGAUUAAAAUGUAAUUUGGAAGUAGUAACAAAAUAAAUUAAAAUACAAUAUAAACUAGAUCAUUUUAAUCUGUGGUUUUCUAAAUCAAUAUCCAGGGCAGAGAUCCUUAUAUAAAUUUAGUGUCUCUAACUUCAGAAAGAGCAAAACAAUGAAAGAACCAUGAUGGGAACUAUGGUGGGAAGUGGCAUCUCAGAGUAACAUUGAACAAUGUCUUCUGGGAGCAAUAGAGGCAGGAUAAAAAGGCCAGAGGAAACUUUAAUGAGACUAGCAAGGAGGAAUGAGAAAAGUCUUAUGCUAAGGCUGAGGAGAACUUUGGCAGCAAAUAGCAUGGGUAAACCAUACCAGAUUCUAGAAGCAACAACUGCUGGGAGCCCUACCUGGGCAUGGCUGAGAGUGACUGAGGCUGUGCAGUACAGAUCUCGAAAAAAGUGACUCAUAGAAAGGUACUUCUAUUGUCCUUGAAAUAUUUCUUUUCUAUGACCACAAAUAAACUAAAUAGGCUAGUUG